rnacentral:rRNA from 1 species
AACGAACGCUGGCGGCAUGCCUAACACAUGCAAGUCGAACGAGACCUUCGGGUCUAGUGGCGCACGGGUGCGUAACGCGUGGGAACCUGCCCUUAGGUUCGGAAUAACUCCCCGAAAGGGGUGCUAAUACCGGAUAAUGUCUUCGGACCAAAGAUUUAUCGCCUUUGGAUGGGCCCGCGUUGGAUUAGCUAGUUGGUAGGGUAAAAGCCUACCAAGGCGACGAUCCAUAGCUGGUCUGAGAGGAUGGUCAGCCACACUGGGACUGAGACACGGCCCAGACUCCUACGGGAUGCAGCAGUGGGGAAUAUUGGACAAUGCGCGAAAGCCUGAUCCAGCACUGCCGCGUGAGUGAUGAAGGCCUUAGGGUUGUAAAGCUCUUUUACCCGGGAUGAUAAUGACAGUACCGGGAGAAUAAGCUCCGGCUAACUCCGUG